rnacentral:rRNA from 1 species
UACAGAGGGGGCAAGCGUUGUUCGGAAUUACUGGGCGUAAAGGGCGCGUAGGCGGCCUCUUAAGUCGAACGUGAAAUCCCCGGGCUCAACCCGGGAACUGCGUCCGAUACUGGGGGGCUUGAAUCCGGGAGAGGGAUGUGGAAUUCCAGGUGUAGCGGUGAAAUGCGUAGAUAUCCGGAGGAACACCGGUGGCGAAGGCGGCUUCCUGGACCGACACUGACGCUGAGGCGCGAAAGCCAGGGGAGCAAACGGG